rnacentral:lncRNA from 1 species
AUGAAGCUCUGCUCAAGGGGAAACAAGAAAUGAUCCAAAUAGUUCUUGCAGAGCUUCCAGGCACCCUCACUGACUACCUACUUGUUGAGAUCAGCAGUGUCAGUGACCCCAGUGUUACCUCCUACGCAGUUAGCAGAACCGUGAUGUGGAACCUUCUGACCCAUGGCAUGCAGUUGGUGAAAGCCAGUGAUUUUCACUUCAUAAUGCAAUCAUCUCAGACAGUGGAAAGGCAGUACUGGUGAAAUGCAGGUCUAAUCAGAUGCAACUAGUUGAUGAGGAAAGCGAGAUUCUCACCGUCAUGUUUUCUCAUAGUCAUGGAAACAAGAAUUAAAAUAAAAAUCAAACAAUCUCCUCCUGUCUCUUGUUCUGCUAGUUCAUCAUGACCUUCAAGUGCAUAUUUUCCAUUGACUUUGUUCAGAUUGGUGUGGCCAGUUUGGGAUGAAACAGUGGAAACAGAGCAAUGUUUUGAAAAUGUUUUGAACUUCCC